UGGAUUUAUUUGUCAUUCUUACACGCUCCUUCACUACUUACAAUUUCAAAAUCCCUAAAACGCUCACCCUAAUCCAUCAUUUACACUCCAUUCUUCUCAAAUCUAUACCAACAAUCGGAAAAAUCGUCAACAACAACCAAUCCACCCCCUACGGCACCACGUCGCGCGCCCCGCAACCUCGCCUCCGAGAUGCUCCACCCCUCACGCGUCAGCUCGGAGUUUGGGUUGAACGCACUUUACGACUCCGUGAACGGCAGAGGUGAUGUUUGGAUCAAUGAGAACUGCUUCCACAUCGUGCGCCAACUCGGAGAAGGUGGCUUUGCCUAGAUGCAUGUACCGUGUCUACCUCUCUGCAAUCUAAAGCCAAAAUGCCUUUCAAGAGGUAUGUUGAGAUCAGGAGGGUUGCCCAAAUCAACUACGGCAAGGAAUAUGGCAGGCUUGUCGUCAUUGUCGACGUCAUUGACCAUAACAGAGUAACUCCCCCACCACCACCCAAGUUCUUACCUUUAUUCACAUUUACACACAUCCAUUUGCAUGCUUUCUUAGAAUUAGUUCUUGCUUUGUUGAUAAUGCUAAUAAUAUUAGGCUCUUGUUGAUGCCCCUGAUAUGGUGAGGUCCCAAGUCAAUUUCAAAAGGCUUUCCUUAACCGACAUUAAGAUUGACAUUAAGAGGGUCCCUAAGAAGAAAGGUCUUGUCAAAGUCAUGGAGGAUGUUGUUUCGUUGCUUUUCUAUCGAUUAUUGUUAUUGUUAAUUUUUAUCAUUAGGUUAUAAUUGAAAAUAUUUGUUUAUGUUACUUGUUAAUGAACAAAUGUUAAGACCAAGUGAGGGAAGAGUUCAUGGGGCAGAAACUCAUUGUCAGAAAGAGAAGGGCAUCCCUCAAUGAUUUUGAUAGGUUCAAGAUAAUGUUGGCCAAGAUCAAGUUAAAGCUUGGUUGGGGAUAGAUCUUGAUGACCAGCCUUGCAGCAAUCCAGAUUGUCUAUAUCUUCAUGAGAUUGGCUCUCAAGAGGAUAGUUUUACAAAAUAUGAAAUAAUUUCAGUAUACACUAGAACAAAGCUAAGGAUAAUGAUUCUGAUGAUAACGUGGAUUUUGUUGCUGGGAAUGUGAAAGUUAUUACCACCAAAGAAGUGUGAGACCAAUAUUUGGAAGAAGCAAGGAGGGAUGGCAAAAUUGACUGCAGGAGAUUGCGAUCGAGAGAGUAAGACAUGCACUAUGUGGACCUUAAUUAGAACCAUGAAAUUCUGAGACAAUAAGCUGUGCAUAUGCAAAGAUCGUGUGUGGCCCAUGGGACAGACAGUGAGAAAUUAAGACAUGCACUAUGGAGUUCACAUCACAAGCAUUAAAGCAUAAGAUUGUGUGCCAAGUUCGUGACUUUUUUUUUUUCUUUAGACUAUUGGUUACAAUUUUAUUUAAAUACGAUAGAAUCAUCAUGAAUAAUAAAAUUCUCAUUUUGAGUAGUUAUGUUGAACUAAUUUUAAGCAGUGAUCCACGCUUGGUAGUAAUCAA